CCCGCACGUCCCCACAGGCCACGUGUGAGCUGCGGGACCCCCCCAACAGCAGCGUGACGGCCGUGCACCCCGCGGAUCUGCAGCGCGUGGGGAGGAUGGACUGCAGCAGCGCGUGGUGCGGGGAGCUGAGCUGCGCUUUGGGGCGGCUGCAGCGCGGCCACGGCGUCACCGUGCACGUCCUCCGAGCGCUGCACAACGACUUCUUCCGAGCGGCGACGUUCAGCAGCGUGCGGAUCGUCAGCACCGCCACGCUGAGCGCCGCGGGCAGCGCGCUGCUGCUGCUGGAUGAGGGCGCG